rnacentral:rRNA from 1 species
UACGUAGGGACCAAGCGUUGUUCGGAUUUACUGGGCGUAAAGGGCGCGUAGGCGGCGCGGUAAGUCACUUGUGAAAUCUCUGAGCUUAACUCAGAACGGCCAAGUGAUACUGCAGUGCUAGAGUGUGGAAGGGGCAAUCGGAAUUCUUGGUGUAGCGGUGAAAUGCGCAGAUAUCAGGAGGAACACCAAUUGCGAAGGCAGCUCGCUGGGACGUAACUGACGCUGAGACGCGAAAGCGUGGGGAGCGAACAGG